CCUACGGGAGGCAGCAGUAGGGAAUCUUCCGCAAUGGACGAAAGUCUGACGGAGCAACGCCGCGUGAGCGAUGAAGGCCUUCGGGUCGUAAAGCUCUGUUGUUAGGGAAGAACAAGUGCUAGUUGAAUAAGCUGGCACCUUGACGGUACCUAACCAGAAAGCCACGGCUAACUACGUGCCAGCAGCCGCGGUAAUACGUAGGUGGCAAGCGUUAUCCGGAAUUAUUGGGCGUAAAGCGCGCGCAGGUGGUUUCUUAAGUCUGAUGUGAANGCCCACGGCUCAACCGUGGAGGGUCAUUGGAAACUGGGAGACUUGAGUGCAGAAGAGGAAAGUGGAAUUCCAUGUGUAGCGGUGAAAUGCGUAGAGAUAUGGAGGAACACCAGUGGCGAAGGCGACUUUCUGGUCUGUAACUGACACUGANGCGCGAAAGCGUGGGGAGCAAACAGAUUAGAUACCCUGGUAGUCCACGCCGUAAACGAUGAGUGCUAAGUGUUAGAGGGUUUCCNCCCUUUAGUGCUGAAGUUAACGCAUUAAGCACUCCGCCUGGGGAGUACGGCCGCAAGGCUGAAACUCAAAGGAAUUGACGGGGGCCCGCACAAGCGGUGGAGCAUGUGGUUUAAUUCGAAGCAACGCGAAGAACCUUAC
rnacentral:rRNA from 1 species